rnacentral:pre_miRNA from 1 species
UAAUAAAAUUUUAUUAAUUUUUAUUGUAAAAAUUGACGUGGUUUACAGAAUAACUAAACAGUUACACGUGGCGUGCCAUGUAUAUCUUAUUUUGAUAUAUAAAGACUAAUUUUUAACAGUAAAAAUGCAUGAAACUUUUAACA